rnacentral:rRNA from 1 species
GGGUUGUGAGGUUAAGCGACUAAGCGUACACGGUGGAUGCCCUGGCAGUCAGAGGCGAUGAAGGACGUGCUAAUCUGCGAUAAGCGUCGGUAAGGUGAUAUGAACCGUUAUAACCGGCGAUUUCCGAAUGGGGAAACCCAGUGUGUUUCGACACACUAUCAUUAACUGAAUCCAUAGGUUAAUGAGGCGAACCGGGGGAACUGAAACAUCUAAGUACCCCGAGGAAAAGAAAUCAACCGAGAUUCCCCCAGUAGCGGCGAGCGAACGGGGAGCAGCCCAGAGCCUGAAUCAGUGUGUGUGUUAGUGGAAGCGUCUGGAAAGGCGUGCGAUACAGGGUGACAGCCCCGUACACAAAAAUGCACAUAUUGUGAGCUCGAUGAGUAGGGCGGGACACGUGGUAUCCUGUCUGAAUAUGGGGGGACCAUCCUCCAAGGCUAAAUACUCCUGACUGACCGAUAGUGAACCAGUACCGUGAGGGAAAGGCGAAAAGAACCCCGGCGAGGGGAGUGAAAAAGAACCUGAAACCGUGUACGUACAAGCAGUGGGAGCACGCUUAGGCGUGUGACUGCGUACCUUUUGUAUAAUGGGUCAGCGACUUAUAUUCUGUAGCAAGGUUAACCGAAUAGGGGAGCCGAAGGGAAACCGAGUCUUAACUGGGCGUUAAGUUGCAGGGUAUAGACCCGAAACCCGGUGAUCUAGCCAUGGGCAGGUUGAAGGUUGGGUAACACUAACUGGAGGACCGAACCGACUAAUGUUGAAAAAUUAGCGGAUGACUUGUGGCUGGGGGUGAAAGGCCAAUCAAACCGGGAGAUAGCUGGUUCUCCCCGAAAGCUAUUUAGGUAGCGCCUCGUGAAUUCAUCUCCGGGGGUAGAGCACUGUUUCGGCAAGGGGGUCAUCCCGACUUACCAACCCGAUGCAAACUGCGAAUACCGGAGAAUGUUAUCACGGGAGACACACGGCGGGUGCUAACGUCCGUCGUGAAGAGGGAAACAACCCAGACCGCCAGCUAAGGUCCCAAAGUCAUGGUUAAGUGGGAAACGAUGUGGGAAGGCCCAGACAGCCAGGAUGUUGGCUUAGAAGCAGCCAUCAUUUAAAGAAAGCGUAAUAGCUCACUGGUCGAGUCGGCCUGCGCGGAAGAUGUAACGGGGCUAAACCAUGCACCGAAGCUGCGGCAGCGACGCUUAUGCGUUGUUGGGUAGGGGAGCGUUCUGUAAGCCUGUGAAGGUGUGCUGUGAGGCAUGCUGGAGGUAUCAGAAGUGCGAAUGCUGACAUAAGUAACGAUAAAGCGGGUGAAAAGCCCGCUCGCCGGAAGACCAAGGGUUCCUGUCCAACGUUAAUCGGGGCAGGGUGAGUCGACCCCUAAGGCGAGGCCGAAAGGCGUAGUCGAUGGGAAACAGGUUAAUAUUCCUGUACUUGGUGUUACUGCGAAGGGGGGACGGAGAAGGCUAUGUUGGCCGGGCGACGGUUGUCCCGGUUUAAGCGUGUAGGCUGGUUUUCCAGGCAAAUCCGGAAAAUCAAGGCUGAGGCGUGAUGACGAGGCACUACGGUGCUGAAGCAACAAAUGCCCUGCUUCCAGGAAAAGCCUCUAAGCAUCAGGUAACAUCAAAUCGUACCCCAAACCGACACAGGUGGUCAGGUAGAGAAUACCAAGGCGCUUGAGAGAACUCGGGUGAAGGAACUAGGCAAAAUGGUGCCGUAACUUCGGGAGAAGGCACGCUGAUAUGUAGGUGAAGUCCCUUGCGGAUGGAGCUGAAAUCAGUCGAAGAUACCAGCUGGCUGCAACUGUUUAUUAAAAACACAGCACUGUGCAAACACGAAAGUGGACGUAUACGGUGUGACGCCUGCCCGGUGCCGGAAGGUUAAUUGAUGGGGUCAGCGCAAGCGAAGCUCUUGAUCGAAGCCCCGGUAAACGGCGGCCGUAACUAUAACGGUCCUAAGGUAGCGAAAUUCCUUGUCGGGUAAGUUCCGACCUGCACGAAUGGCGUAAUGAUGGCCAGGCUGUCUCCACCCGAGACUCAGUGAAAUUGAACUCGCUGUGAAGAUGCAGUGUACCCGCGGCAAGACGGAAAGACCCCGUGAACCUUUACUAUAGCUUGACACUGAACAUUGAGCCUUGAUGUGUAGGAUAGGUGGGAGGCUUUGAAGUGUGGACGCCAGUCUGCAUGGAGCCGACCUUGAAAUACCACCCUUUAAUGUUUGAUGUUCUAACGUGGACCCGUGAUCCGGGUUGCGGACAGUGUCUGGUGGGUAGUUUGACUGGGGCGGUCUCCUCCUAAAGAGUAACGGAGGAGCACGAAGGUUGGCUAAUCCUGGUCGGACAUCAGGAGGUUAGUGCAAUGGCAUAAGCCAGCUUGACUGCGAGCGUGACGGCGCGAGCAGGUGCGAAAGCAGGUCAUAGUGAUCCGGUGGUUCUGAAUGGAAGGGCCAUCGCUCAACGGAUAAAAGGUACUCCGGGGAUAACAGGCUGAUACCGCCCAAGAGUUCAUAUCGACGGCGGUGUUUGGCACCUCGAUGUCGGCUCAUCACAUCCUGGGGCUGAAGUAGGUCCCAAGGGUAUGGCUGUUCGCCAUUUAAAGUGGUACGCGAGCUGGGUUUAGAACGUCGUGAGACAGUUCGGUCCCUAUCUGCCGUGGGCGCUGGAGAACUGAGGGGGGCUGCUCCUAGUACGAGAGGACCGGAGUGGACGCAUCACUGGUGUUCGGGUUGUCAUGCCAAUGGCACUGCCCGGUAGCUAAAUGCGGAAGAGAUAAGUGCUGAAAGCAUCUAAGCACGAAACUUGCCCCGAGAUGAGUUCUCCCUGACCCUUUAAGGGUCCUGAAGGAACGUUGAAGACGACGACGUUGAUAGGCCGGGUGUGUAAGCGCAGCGAUGCGUUGAGCUAACCGGUACUAAUGAACCGUGAGGCUUAACCUUACAACGCCGAAGCUGUU